ensembl:lincRNA
UUGGAAUUGAAAAUGAUGUGAUUCAUUUCUGAAGCAUACAUACAAUUGCCAGAAAAAUAGAGAGACUUCCAGAACAUUGUCUUACCUUUGUGCAGUGGCAUCCAGCAAAGUGUGGGUGUUUUAGUCUGGGACCCAGAAAGAGGGGUAUGGAAAGCAGUUGAACUGUGAUAGAUAUAUUACGCGAGCAAGAAAUAUCCCAUUAUGGCGUCACGUUCCUGAGGUUCAGGGAUUCUUCAGGCCUGCGGCAUAACUCAGGCUCCCCUGACCACGGCCAUGAGUAGAAUUUAGUAUCUGAGGCAACUGGUUAGUGCCUCCUGUUCCCAGACCGCACUGGAGGGAUGUGACCGUGAUGUGCAGACCGGCCAGGAGGCUGCGCAGGAAGUCUCGGCGGAGGAAGAGUCAGCCGAAAUAGGUGCAGCUGUAAGGAGACCGUGUGCUGGUUAAAACGGUGACACGCGCAUGUCCUUCCUUCCCUCAUCUGUGCUGAACUAGGGACACAUUUAAAAGCAUUUGGAGAAGUGAAAAUAGAGCAUGAACUUGAGGCCGUCUUCCAGGCAUGCAAACAUUAAUGAAGACCACGGGGUCCUUGUCAUUUCAAGAGUGUUCCCAGCUUACCCCGUCUUGCUUCUGACUGGAGGACUCCUUCGCAGUACGGUUUCUCUGUGCAGAGCACCGUGGGUUGCAGGCACCCUAACCAGUCUUCCCUGUGUGACAAGGACCUCCUGCCGUACAGUCUCUGGGCAGACGCUCAUAGCCACAGAAAAAGGAAAAAUAGUUCUUAGAAAAGGGGACCCUUUACUACAGGUGAGGCCAGUUUUCAUAAAAGGAUCCCUGAGCGCUUGUUCAGUCUUGGAACCUGUCUAUAAAAUGCCAGUCAAAGGAGACCACGUGGCUUGUGGUGCCGAAGCAGCCCGCGUGCGCCUGUCCUGUCAACCCGCUGUGCGCAGGCGAGCGGAAUCUGUUCAGCGCAGCGCUCUCCUCUGACUCCGAGACCACGCGACCUUCGGCGGCCGCGCUCCCGAGGAGAUUCUGCGCACAGGGCCACGACUUUCCCGGGAAGACAGUGUGGGUUUACUCAACACUGAUAUGGCAGCUGACGGGCUCAAGUUCUGUAUCAACAGGACAGAGUGAUCUCAGCCUGGAGGGGUUCAGAGGGUAGUUAGCAGGUCUUCCACUGUGACAGCUGGCGUGUAAAUCCCCGGAGCCUUCAAAGAGUAACUAGAUGCAGCGUGCACAUUGGGAAUGUUUCACCUUCAUACAAGAGUUUCAUCAUAAGGCCACGGGCUGCCGAGCAGUCUAUCCAUAGAAGGUAAGUUUUGUUUUGGGUAGCUUUUUUAAUAGCAAUAAUGGUGAGGACAGUGUAUGUUGAAGCUGCUCCUAUUAGAAAAGGUAAAUAAAAUGAGGGCCGCUGUGUAUUAGUUUAUUCUCUAGGGCGAGCGUACCUCUCAUUCCAGAUGUGUUACUGAAUUGCUAGGUUUCUCAUGAAAAAGGGUGGCGUGUGGAUUCAUUGCUGCUUUGGUGUUGUGGGGGCGGAAAUCUCAAAAUUAUCUUACUAGCCAAUAGAUGGCGCUCUAAGCUUGAGGCUAGUGGAGGUUUAGCGAUGCAGGUUAUAAACCACUGUCUCUAUAGAGUUAAGUGUAGUUCGCAAAGGAUCAAUGAAUUAAAGAGUUGGUUCUUUAAAAGGAUGCGAAGGGGUUCAUGAUUGUGGAGAUGGAAGGAAGGGGACAGGCAGUAAAGUGGAUCAAGAUGAGAUGUGUAUGUACCAGUUACCCACAGUGAAUGUGUUUACUGCGUCGCAAUAGUACACUAACAAUUCCACUUUAAGAAAAGCAGUUCACUCAUGACUGGUUAAUUUGUUCAUUGUACAAGUUACUGUUGCGAGCCCGCCAUGUACUAGGACUGUCUUUCCAGCGUUAAAGACAACUGUAAGGUAAAUAAAAGCUUAA